UUGACAGAAAAGAGAAGGGAAAUGUUGUCUCAUAUUUGUGGUAUGGAAGAUUCCUGGAGAAGAUGGUCUUUUAGGAGCCUUUUCCUAGUCUCCAUGGUAUAUCUGCCUCAUUUUUACUGAAAUGUGUAUCUUCUGGUGGGAUAAAUUCAUUGUCAAUAGCAGCAACAGCGUCAUCAUCAUCACACGUAAAACGGGGCAUAUGAGUACAGCUGACCCCCUUGUGAAAAACUGCCUUCCUUUGAUGUUUGGGAAAAUGCAGAUGAUACUGAUCUCCUGAUCUUCA
rnacentral:lncRNA from 1 species